rnacentral:rRNA from 1 species
AGAGUUUGAUCCUGGCUCAGGAUGAACGCUAGCGGCAGGCUUAACACAUGCAAGUCGAGGGGCAGCGGGGAGGAAGCUUGCUUUCUCCGCCGGCGACCGGCGCACGGGUGAGUAACACGUAUGCAACCUGCCCCUGUCAGGGGGACAACCCGCCGAAAGGCGGGCUAAACCCGCGUACAUGCCACCGGGGCAUCCCGGAGGCAGGAAAGGCUUCGGCCGGACAGGGAUGGGCAUGCGGCGCAUUAGGCAGUAGGCGGGGUAACGGCCCACCUAACCGACGAUGCGUAGGGGUUCUGAGAGGAAGGUCCCCCACACUGGUACUGAGACACGGACCAGACUCCUACGGGAGGCAGCAGUGAGGAAUAUUGGUCAAUGGUCGGGAGACUGAACCAGCCAAGCCGCGUGAGGGAUGACGGCCCUACGGGUUGUAAACCUCUUUUGCCGGGGAGCAAAGAGCGGGACGCGUCCCGCCUCGAGAGUACCCGGAGAAAAAGCAUCGGCUAACUCCGUGCCAGCAGCCGCGGUAAUACGGAGGAUGCGAGCGUUAUCCGGAUUUAUUGGGUUUAAAGGGUGCGCAGGCGGCGAGUUAAGUCAGCGGUAAAAUUUCGGGGCUCAACCCCGACGAGCCGUUGAAACUGGCUUGCUAGAGUGGGCGAGAAGUAUGCGGAAUGCGUGGUGUAGCGGUGAAAUGCAUAGAUAUCACGCAGAACUCCGAUUGCGAAGGCAGCAUACCGGCGCCCAACUGACGCUCAGGCACGAAAGCGUGGGUAUCGAACAGGAUUAGAUACCCUGGUAGUCCACGCAGUAAACGAUGAGCACUAAUUGUCCGGUCCGAGUGAGGGCUGGGUGAUACAGCGAAAGCGUUAAGUGCUCCACCUGGGGAGUACGCCGGCAACGGUGAAACUCAAAGGAAUUGACGGGGGCCCGCACAAGCGGAGGAACAUGUGGUUUAAUUCGAUGAUACGCGAGGAACCUUACCCGGGCUCAAACGGGGAGUGACUCAGGCAGAGACGCCUGUUUCCCACGGGACACUCCCCGAGGUGCUGCAUGGUUGUCGUCAGCUCGUGCCGUGAGGUGUCGGCUUAAGUGCCAUAACGAGCGCAACCCCCGCGUGCAGUUGCUAACAGAUAACGCUGAGGACUCUGCACGGACUGCCGGCGCAAGCCGCGAGGAAGGCGGGGAUGACGUCAAAUCAGCACGGCCCUUACGUCCGGGGCGACACACGUGUUACAAUGGGUGGUACAGCGGGAAGCCAGGCGGCGACGCCGAGCGGAACCCGAAAUCCACUCUCAGUUCGGAUCGGAGUCUGCAACCCGACUCCGUGAAGCUGGAUUCGCUAGUAAUCGCGCAUCAGCCAUGGCGCGGUGAAUACGUUCCCGGGCCUUGCACACACCGCCC